rnacentral:rRNA from 1 species
UACGGGGGGGGCAAGCGUUGUUCGGAAUUACUGGGCGUAAAGGGGACGUAGGCGGCCAACUAAGUCCGACGUGAAAUCCCAAGGCUUAACCUUGGAACUGCGUCGGAUACUGGAUGGCUUGAAUUCGGGAGAGGGAUGCAGAAUUCCAGGUGUAGCGGUGAAAUGCGUAGAUAUCUGGAGGAACACCGGUGGCGAAGGCGGCAUCCUGGACCGGUAUUGACGCUGAUGCGCGAAAGCCAGGGGAGCAAACGGG